AAUGUUCAGUUUAGCUUCUUCUUCUUCUCGAGUCCACGCACAAGAUUAGAACUUGUUCAGCCGGAGCUGAACACAAUUCUCGGCAUCUGCAUACAAUGGUGUCUGUCUUGCGCUUCUUGUGCGUGGUGGCGGAAAGAUU